rnacentral:lncRNA from 1 species
UUGACAGUCACACUAUCAUCUUUCCACAUCUUAUAUAUGAUCCUUUCCUCCUCGGAAGCAUAUUUUUUAAGAGAAUCUGGAGCAGGUGUAUCCAAAAUGUAAAAGAUUUUCUUCUGGGUGAGAAUAAUUCUCAAGUUUCUUAACCAGUCGACAAAGUUGGGUUUGAUCAACUUAUUAGUAUCUAGGAUACCUCUAAGGGACAGUGAGGAUGCUAUAAGUGUAGUUAAUCUAUAAUAACAAGAACAUAAUAUAAGCAGACAACUCAUGAAGAUAUUCAUAACUAGACUAGAACUUUUAUCUAAUUGUGUCUCCCACUAUUUUAUCGAACUUCAUAGCCCUCAAAUAUGAAAAUCGAGAAAUAUACUAAUGUUUCUUAGUAGGGUUGAGAUCUCUAUUCCUCACAAACAUCUUGUAGAUAGCACAACAAGUAUUCAUGAGUUCAAGAGUAGGUAACUCUUUACCAAUUAUACCUUUACAAUUCUCAACAUCUUUCAUUCUGACCUCUAGAUCACAUAUAG